rnacentral:rRNA from 1 species
GAUGAACGCUAGCUACAGGCUUAACACAUGCAAGUCGAGGGGCAGCACGGAGAUAGCUUGCUAUCUUGGGUGGCGACCGGCGCACGGGUGAGUAACGCGUAUCCAACCUGCCCAUUACUCUGGGAUAGCCUUGCGAAAGUAAGAUUAAUACCGGAUGUUGUUAAAAACCCGCAUGAGUUUUUAACCGAAGAUUUAUUGGUAAUGGAUGGGGAUGCGUGACAUUAGGUAGUAGGUGAGGUAACGGCUCACCUAGCCGACGAUGUCUAGGGGUUCUGAGAGGAAGGUCCCCCACACCGGAACUGAGACACGGUCCAGACGCCUACGGGAGGCAGCAGUGAGGAAUAUUGGUCAAUGGACGAGAGUCUGAACCAGCCAAGUAGCGUGCAGGACGACGGCCCUCUGGGUUGUAAACUGCUUUUAGUUGGGAAUAAAAAGAGGGACGUGUCCCUUAUUGUAUGUACCAUCAGAAAAAGGACCGGCUAAUUCCGUGCCAGCAGCCGCAGUAAAAC